GGCCGGUUGGCCCAAUGGCAAGGCGUCUGACUACGAUUAUAUGGUAUCAGGAGAUUCUGGGUUCGACCCCCAGGCUGGUCA
rnacentral:tRNA from 1 species